rnacentral:rRNA from 1 species
AUGUGGUGUGAAGUUGAAUCGUCUGGGAAGGCGGACCGUAGUGGGUGAGAGUCCCGUAGACGUGAGUGUCAUGUGUGGUUGUCAGGUUGCCCCAAGUAGCGCGGUACUCGUGGAAUGUCGCGUGAAUCUGGCGGGACCACCCGUUAAGCCUAAAUACUUCUUGGUGACCGAUAGUGUAUCAGUACCGUGAGGGAAUGGUGA